GACGAACGCUGGCGGCGUGCUUAACACAUGCAAGUCGAACGGAAAGGCCCUGCUUUUGUGGGGUGCUCGAGUGGCGAACGGGUGAGUAACACGUGAGUAACCUGCCCUUGACUUUGGGAUAACUUCAGGAAACUGGGGCUAAUACCGGAUAGGAGCUCCUGCUGCAUGGUGGGGGUUGGAAAGUUUCGGCGGUUGGGGAUGGACUCGCGGCUUAUCAGCUUGUUGGUGGGGUAGUGGCUUACCAAGGCUUUGACGGGUAGCCGGCCUGAGAGGUUGACCGGCCACAUUGGGACUGAGGUACGGCCCAGACUCCUACGGGAGGCAGCAGUGGGGAAUAUUGCACAAUGGGCGGAAGCCUGAUGCAGCAACGCCGCGUGCGGGAUGACGGCCUUCGGGUUGUAAACCGCUUUCGCCUGUGACGAAGCGUGAGUGACGGUAAUGGGUAAAGAAGCACCGGCUAACUACGUG
rnacentral:rRNA from 1 species